AGCUGGAAUCGCUAGUAAUCGCGGAUCAGAAUGCCGCGGUGAAUACGUUCCCGGGUCUUGUACACACCGCCCGUCACACCAUGGGAGUCGGAAAUGCCCGAAGUCUGUGACCCAACCUUAGGGAGGGAGCAGCCGAAGGCAGGUCGGAUGACUGGGGUGAAGUCGUAACAAGGUAUC
rnacentral:rRNA from 1 species